AGUCCAGAAGACGGCCUGAGCCAGGGAUAGGAGCUGGUAAGAGCCUCCCGGAUCCCCAGUGGAGACCCACCACAGCCCCAGCUGAAGUAAACCAUGAGCUUGGUGUGGUGCUGCAGUCCUGUGAUCUCGGCACUCUGGAGAACCAAGAGUUCAAGGCUGUCCUAGGCUCGACAUCGGGUUCAAGGCCAGCCUGGGCUUCAUUCGAGCUAAAUACAAAACUGUAAUAAAGUCCAUGGCUGGGUGUGAAUGCACAGGCCUGAAAUUCCAGAUCUCGGGAGACAGGGGUAAGAGGGACCCUGCAAGUUCAAGGCCAGCCUGCUGUACCAGCCAGGGAACAUAAAUGAGCAAAUGAAAAAGAAAGAACACAGAGACUGAACUCCAGGAGGCACAAAGUUAUCAGGAGGGGGAAACCCCAGAGGGACUAACCAAGCAACCUGUUACUCUAGACGGAGGAAAGUCAAAAUGCAAGACCAGGAGGAGAGAGCAGGGCCAGCAUUGGGGGAAGGACUCGGUGAGCAUCCCUGGGAGACCAGGAUACAGGAGGUGCUGGCCCACACUGGCCGCUUCCUGGCUUCCUGCCCCCUGCUGCCCCCCCGGGACCUCUCCAGGGAGACUGACAAGAACUCCAGCUGAGGACCUUGCUUUCUCUCAUCUGCUUUUCCAACUCUGUCCUUGGGUCUCAGUCUUGUGGACUGCAGAAUGGAUGGGCCCUGGAGAGGCGAGACAGCCACAGAACCGUAUCUGCAGCUUUGGUCCUUAGCCCGGCUGCUCCCUGAGGGCCACUGGGGAACCCAGCAUCUUUGUUUUUUCUAUUGGAGGAGCAUCGUGGAACAGAGGCAGUUUGCUGAGCUGGUGCAGGUCAGGGAGGAGGCAGUCGGGGCAGCUUCCCUCCCAAGCGCCAAGUCUCAGAGCGACAGUCGGACAGUCGGAUCCGUGUAGCUGGCUUACAGCUGAGUGGGGCAGCGAGGGGGUGUAAAUUUCUCAAGACCACGCAGGAAAGUGGGACCCCCUACCUAUCUGGUUCUAAAUCGAUCUCUCUAAACCUUUCCUGGAAAUGGGUGUGUGUGGCUCGGUGCUGAGGGGGCUUUGCAUGAAGCCAGCUGCCAACCCCAGUAGUUCAAUACCAAUGCAAGUCUCCAAGCUUCGGGGGAGGGGCAUCACUUCCGGGAGAGCGAUGGAGGUGUGAGCAGAGCUUGGGGAGCCAAAGCCCGGAGCGCACCAGGCCCUUUCUCGGGCAGGAUUAGGAAAGAGUCAGGGACUUGUAUCCCAGAGUCGGAUGUUUGACCCACUACCAGCACAGUAAAGUCAAGAAGGAGAAAGGUCCACAGAGAGAGCGGGGAAGGUGACCUAUGAUGCGAUGUUUCAUAAGGACCCGUGCGGGAGCCCAGAGUCAUGGGUCGUCCCAGGCCUGGGAUGAUGGCAUGCCAGGGUGUUAGCAGCCAGCGCGUAUAGAGGCAAAGCCUGCUUAGGACAGGGUUUCACUUAUUGGUUUUCUGGCCGUUCUCUGGCCUCAGCCUCCCGAGGGGUGGGAUUUUGUUGGUGAGCUAAUGUACUUGGCUUCUCUUGUUAUUUAUUUCUUUGCUUAUUUAUUUAUUUAUUUAUUUAUUAAAAUUAAAAAUUUU
rnacentral:lncRNA from 1 species